rnacentral:lncRNA from 1 species
UUCAUUUUCCGAUCACCGUUUUUUGGAACAUAUGGCUGCAUCACCACCCAGAUUGAUCCCUGAAAGGGGUCAAGUUCUGAAGAGGAUCCUAAAAAUGGUGGUUGCUUGUUUCAUGUGUGCUCCUGAGUCUUCUUCCGAUUCUCAUAAUCACAAAACCUCUUCUUCUUCAGUCUUUCCGGCGUCACCUCCUUCCCGUCUCUGAACUCAUUCCUCGCUUUUCGUGUUAACCUUUGACAACUUGUCAAAAAUGGAUUCUGGGUCUGUUGGGUUCUGUUGGUUUAUUCAAGAACAUUGCUCUUCACCUCCUUAACGUUAAUUUUGUGUGCGUCUUAUGUUGUAACGUUGUAGCGACAACUCAAUUUUGUUUAGUUUCAUGUAGAUUCAGCCCCUCCCCGCUUUGAUCCCGGGCCUGCAAAAUUUGAAGAAAAAAAUUUACUUUUGAAUGUGAAAGUCUUUCUUAUCGGUCGGAAAUGCUGAUUUGAUCCGAAGAUUUUAAAUGUACUUUAUAUUUGUGUUAUGGGAGUAUUCGAGAUCGCGUCUCGACAUCUCCACAACAGCUCCCAACACAGCAUAAUUAUAAAUAUAACUUAAUUACGUAAUUAAUAAACACAACAUGAUAAUUAUUCAUAAAUCAUGAUUAAGACAAC